CCCUUAGAUGUUCUGGGCCGCACGCGCGCUACACUGAAGGAAUCAGCGUGCUAAAACCAUUGUCGAAAGGCAUUGGUAAACCCAUUAAAAUCCUACGUGAUUGGGAUCGGGAAUUGCAAUUAUUUCCCUUGAACGAGGAAUUCCCAGUAAGUGUGGGUCAUAAGCUCGCGUUGAUUACGUCCCUGCCCUUUGUACACACCGCCCGUCGCUGCCCGGGACUGAGCCGUUUCGAGAAAAGCGGGGACUGCUGCUGUCGGGGCUUUCGGGCCUUGGCUUCGGUGGAAACCGCUCUAAUCGCAGUGGCUUGAACCGGGCAAAAGUCGUANCA
rnacentral:rRNA from 1 species